rnacentral:rRNA from 1 species
UUUCGAUGGUAGGAUAGGGGCCUACCAUGGUGAUGACGGGUAACGGGGAAUAAGGGUUCGAUUCCGGAGAGAGGGCCUGAGAAACGGCCCUCAGGUCUAAGGACACGCAGCAGGCGCGCAAAUUAUCCCCUGGCAACACUUUGCCGAGAUAGUGACAAUAAAUAACAAUGCAGGGCUCUUACGGGUCUUGCAAUUGGAAUGAGUACAAUUUAAAUCCCUUAACGAGGAUCAAUUGGAGGGCAAGUCUGGUGCCAGCAGCCGCGGUAAUUCCAGCUCCAAUAGCGUAUAUUAAAGUUGUUGCCGUUAAAAAGCUCGUAGUCGAACUUCGGUCCCUGUGGGCCGGUCCGCCUUCUUGGUGUGUACUUGCUCCACGGGGACUUACCUCCUGGUGAGCUGCUAUGCCCUUUACUGGGUGUAGUAGGGAACCAGGACGUUUACUUUGAAAAAAUUAGAGUGUUCAAAGCAGGCCUACGCCCGAAUACAUUAGCAUGGAAUAAUAGAAUAGGACGAGCGUUCCCAUUUUGUUGGUUUCUGAGAUCGCCGUAAUGAUUAAUAGGGAUAGUUGGGGGCAUUUGUAUUCCGUCGUCAGAGGUGAAAUUCUUGGAUUGCCGGAAGACAAACUAUUGCGAAAGCAUUUGCCAAGGAUGUUUUCAUUGAUCAAGAACGAAGGAAGGGGGAUCGAAAACGAUCAGAUACCGUUGUAGUCUCUUCUGUAAACUAUGCCAAUUGGGGAUUAGCUUAGGAUUUUUAAUGACUAAGUUAGCACCCGAAGAGAAAUCUUUAAAUGAGGUUCGGGGGGGAGUAUGGUCGCAAGGCUGAAACUUAAAGGAAUUGACGGAAGGGCACCACCAGGUGUGGAGCCUGCGGCUUAAUUUGACUCAACACGGGGAAACUCACCAGGUCCAGACACAAUAAGGAUUGACAGAUUGAUAGCUCUUUCUUGAUCUUGUGGUUGGUGGUGCAUGGCCGUUCUUAGUUGGUGGAGUGAUUUGUCUGGUUAAUUCCGAUAACGAACGAGACCUUAACCUGCUAAAUAGACCAGUCGACUUUGGUUAACUGCUGUCUUCUUAGAGGGACUAUCAGCGUUUAGCUGAUGGAAGUUUGAGGCAAUAACAGGUCUGUGAUGCCCUUAGAUGUUCUGGGCCGCACGCGCGCUACACUGACAGAGCCAGCGAGUCUACCACCUUGGCCGGAAGGCCUGGGUAAUCUUGUGAAACUCUGUCGUGAUGGGGAUAGAACAUUGCAAUUAUUGUUCUUCAACGAGGAAUUCCUAGUAAGCGCAAGUCAUCAGCUUGCGUUGAUUACGUCCCUGCCCUUUGUACACACCGCCCGUCGCUACUACCGAUUGAAUGGCUUAGUGAGA